rnacentral:lncRNA from 1 species
GAAGCUGUACUAGGUAGACAACACAUUGAAAAUAUUUAAAUGUUUGUGUUAGUUUAUGUACUGUUGUUUGCAAAUACUUGGUCACUCCUGAUUGUUGUUGUGUCUGAAUGUAUAACAGAGCUCAACAGCAAUCAUAUUCACAGUCAUGUGUCUUUAAAUUACAAUGAAUGUGUUUGGAAGUCAGUCUGUGUAAAUUAGAUACAUUGUUCUUGUUCUAAAUUACAUUCUAGUUGCAUAAACUGUUAUUAUUCACUUAAAUUGUCUGAAAACAAACUUGUCUCUGGUCACAUCCCUAAAAUAAAAUAAAAUCUUUGUCCACAUGAAAUGUUGGGAAGUAUAUAUAUUUAAGUCAUUAUAUAGUUAAUGCAUUAAAAAUAUUGUCUAAAGGUCACAUAUUUGGGUUUUUUUUUAAUGCGUACUUAAAAUGUGACAGUCUGUCCCGGAGAUGCAGAUUCAAAGCAUGUGACAGGAUUGUAAUUCUUGAGUUGAACCAAAUUAACCCUCUUUUAAAUACUAACGUAAAAUCGUUCUUGUCAUCUAAAAAUGUCCAAAUUAUUUAAUUUUUUUUUACUUAUGUCAUGUGUUGCUUGUUAUAUGAUGUCUGUCAACUCUGUCAUAUAAAAAUAAAGAUUAUUUACAAAAAAUAAAUAAAAGAAAUGAAAUUACAUACCUUUUGCCCAGUCUCAUUAGAACACAUUUAUCUGGAUAUUUCUGACUUUAGUUUUACAAGAUUUAGGGGGCAUCUGUUUGUUCUCUUUUGAAUGUAACUUUUUGUUUGCAACACUAAAAAACACAUUUUGAUUUGUUUAUCCCAGGCAUACUGUUGUGGUUUUACCAUCAACAUGUUCGCAACACUUUCUGCAUUUCGGAAUGAGUCAAAAAAGCACCUGCUAUAAUUGUUUGAAUGAGUAACUAUUUGUUCAGUAUACUAGCUAAACAGGUUUUAUACAAAAAAACAUUCAAUGUGAACUAAAAAGGAGGUUUAAAUUAGUAUAGAGAACUUCAAUGCAACAAAAAUAAAUAUGUAGAUAUAUUUUCACCUGCCCCCAUUUAAAAAAGAUUAAACUAAAAAAAGUAUAAUUAAUGCUGAGGAGAAGUGACGAAAAUAAUUUGGAUGGUCUUCUGAACUGAAAAAUCUCAAUUUAUCCAGUUACAGAAAAUAAAAUUUGAGGCGUAACUUAUUAUCUGUACAUUUAUCCAGUUUAUUCCUAAAAGCAACAUAAAACAAAUCUUGGACUCUAGCCACGUGUGACACAUACGACAUCACGCAUGAUUUAGAAGCUCACUGACAGCUGUCAGCUUGCCCAGUUUUUCUUCGUGGCAUUUGUAAUACCAGUAGUAUAGUAAAGCAGAAUAACAGAGUCAAUGCACAAGCAUGGUGAGAGUUUGAGUGCAAGGAUAAUACAUCUAUUUUUGAGCUUGGUGAUGCAAUAUUUGUUUCGGGUUACACAGCUAUCAUCCACCAUCAUGCAUUUCUUAUUCAGGCUUAAACUCUUAAUUUUUUUAUUUUAACUGUUUAGUAGAUAUAUUCCCAAAGAAAACAUGCUUUAAUUUUUGUCUGCAUGUUUUCUUUGGGGCAUAUGAAACAACAUUCUUAAAGCUGUAGUCCUGCUGUCUGCAACCUUUGCAAGCCUUAACCUCUUCCUCCAGCACAGACUUUUGGUUUGAGCCAAGGAUUUGACUAGUCACAAGCUUUUCAUUGAGAAUCAGCUUUCCAAUGCUUCUCAGUGAGCUGUAGGCAAGUGGUCUACAGUCUAGCGUGCCUGCUGGAAGAAAGAUGUCAGAUUUUCAGCAAGAAUAAUGUGGUAGAUGGCAGCACUGUAACACGACUGUGUAAUACAAAAGCAAAUGCAAACAUACCAAAUUAAGCCCAGUGCUCAAACUCACACUCCUCAUACUCCUGGGACCCCGUGUUUCCUAUUAAGGGUUAAUAAGUGUGUCAGGGUUUAGAAAACAACCCCUCUGUCUCAGAGAUUUUACCUUUUAGCUGAAAGCAGCCAGGUGAAUUGUUAGUGUAGGACUCAACUAAGAAGUUCUGCCUUGAUGUGGCAUGUGAGCUUACAUUUGAAUGAUACUAAAACCCCAAAUUAUUUGGGGUAGUUCGCAAGUAACUUUUUCCUUUGAUUUUUAAUGUAUGUAUUGAGGAUGAUGUGUAUUAUAGUCAUUCCUGACCCCCAGGAGUAGUGGGAGUUUAAGAGCAGGGCUUAAUUUAACACAUUUAUAAAACUUUCAAUGUUCUAAAUUGAGGGAGGUGGGGAGGGGCUUUGAAACUUCUUGUGCUCGUUGCAGGUGUAGAAACAAAUUAUACCUGUGCAUGUGGACGACAGAUGUACUGUGAACAUACAGAUUCCUAACACCAUGACCACUUCUAAAAGUAUAGGAUGAAAGAAUCAAAGUGUAUAGUUAGCAUAGGACUCCAUAGUGUUCCUGCAUAUGGGCACGUGACACUUUGAUGUUACCUGUUGCAGGAGUAAAACCUUAUUUGAAAAGAAAAUCUGGGAAUAAAUUGUUGUUUUUUUUUGCGCUUUUUAAAGUAUACAGGUAGUUCCGACUUUACGAACUAAUUGGUUCUGAAGCCUGGUUCAUAAAGUGAGAGUUCAUAAAGCGAGAACUAACUUCCCAUAGACUGCAAUGUAAUAAACAUGGGUUCCAUUCCUGACCAACAAAGCAUUAAAAACCUACAUUAUUUAAUACAAAAUGAAAGCAUAGCAAAUACAUGUAUGUUGUAGGAACAUUAAAGGAAUACAUAACAUACUGAAAUCUUCAAAUUAUCAUCAAUCAUCAUCACCCUCAAUGAAGCGACAUGCCGUACUUGUUGAAUGGCGACACCUCUCUACAGCCCUCUUACUUAUUCACUUUCUUCUCUAUCAACUUCCCCUCUCCUUUGUCACCUUUAUUUUAUACACUUUUUUUUUUUUUUACUCCUUUGAUUUUUACUCCUCUCAAACUCACUUCCUUCUCCCCUGUCUUCAGGCUAUUCAGUCCUCCUCCUGCUCCUCACUGAUGCUGCCUGCAAAAACAUGGCACAAUGGCAAACACACACACAGACAGCAAUGUCAGAAAAAUCAAGUCAAAUCUCAACUCAAUAGUAUACAGUGUAGUAAUAUUAGAGUCAUGUCCAUGAAAGCGCAGAAAGCCUACAGGACAGUCUAAACCCGUUUUUUAGACUUGCUUUUAUCUUCAGGAACCGUGUUUCUGAUCCUCUUCUCUCUUCUUUUCUACUCCUGGACACAAAUUCUACUUCUUCUCUUCUUGUUUGUGCUCCAAAGUACGCUCCUUUGUCCUGAUCCGCAGGCCACUGGAUGGUGGUGCAUCCAGGAAAAGUUCAUAAAAGGUGGGAGUUCAUAAAGCGAGAAAUACCUGUACUAGAACUCACCAACUCCGGACAGAUCUUGCUUUCUUUCUGCUUCUCUGGCUUUAGAUAUUAAAUGUUUCCUCUUUCCUAGAAUCCAGCCUCUUUGUAGAGAAAUAAUUGCAAACUGACUUUAGGUAUUUAAAGGGAGGCGCCAGCGUAGGAGAAAACAAUAUCAUAAACACUAUAUAAAGAAAGUGAACAUAAACAUUUUCAGUUAUUCUUCAAGGUGACAAUAAGAAUGGCAUGGCAUCACACGAUCUCCCCACCAACUUCACUCAGUGCAGCAUUCUGGAAUAUCACU